ACUAGAAGUCUCACAAUCAAUUCUAAGACUGCUGCCAAGAAGGAAGUUCCUUUAAGACAUUUAGUGGUGGAGAGCAAGAAGAUUGUUCUUCAUGUUUUGUUAGUCAAGCAGAAAACUCAGAGAGAAAAGAGCAAUAAAGACUGAAAAUGGCUGGAAAGAUGCAGAUUUUUGCUGUACUCUAGUGGUGAGCUGCAUUUCCUGAGUGUCAGCAGACUUCCCAGCAGGAAUUCCAGUCUGAUGAAGAAUCAGCCAAAGGAAGUCCUCACUGAGAGAUACACUGGUAUCAUUCACUGAGUGGAAACAGUGAAAGAGUAACAUAUUUCUAAAGGGAAUUUACAUUAUUAAUACAUGUGCUUUUGUAGCUACUUACAGAAAUACACUUUUAUCUUUCCAUGGUUGAAAAAAUAAGUAAUUUUCCUCAAAACCCUA